rnacentral:rRNA from 1 species
UGUGGGGACCUUUCCACGGUCUCCGUGACGCAGCUAACGCAUUAAGUUCCCCGCCUGGGGAGUACGGCCGCAAGGCUAAAACUCAAAGGAAUUGACGGGGACCCGCACAAGCGGCGGAGCAUGCGGAUUAAUUCGAUGCAACGCGAAGAACCUUACCAAGGCUUGACAUAUAGAGGAAAGGUCUGGAAACAGUCCCCCCGCAAGGUCUCUAUACAGGUGGUGCAUGGUUGUCGUCAGCUCGUGUCGUGAGAUGUUGGGUUAAGUCCCGCAACGAGCGCAACCCUCGUUCUAUGUUGCCAGCACGUAAUGGUGGGAACUCAUGGGAUACUGCCGGGGUCAACUCGGAGGAAGGUGGGGAUGACGUCAAAUCAUCAUGCCCCUUAUGUCUUGGGCUUCACGCAUGCUACAAUGGCCGGUACAAAGGGCUGCAAUACCGUGAGGUGGAGCGAAUCCCAAAAAGCCGGUCCCAGUUCGGAUUGAGGUCUGCAACUCGACCUCAUGAAGUCGGAGUCGCUAGUAAUCGCAGAUCAGCAACGCUGCGGUGAAUACGUUCCCGGGUCUUGUACACACCGCCCGUCAAGUCAUGAAAGUCGGUAACACCUGAAGCCGGUGGCCUAACCCUUGUGGAGGGAGCCGUCGAAGGUGGGAUCGGUAAUUAGGACUAAGU